GAGUUUGAUCGUGGCUCAGAUUGAACGCUGGCGGCAUGCCUUACACAUGCAAGUCGAACGGCAGCACGGGAGCUUGCUCCUGGUGGCGAGUGGCGAACGGGUGAGUAAUGCAUCGGAACGUAUCCUGGAGUGGGGGAUAACGUAGCGAAAGUUACGCUAAUACCGCAUAUUCUGUGAGCAGGAAAGCGGGGGGACCUUCGGGCCUCGCGCUCUUGGAGCGGCCGAUGUCGGAUUAGCUAGUUGGUGAGGUAAAGGCUCACCAAGGCGACGAUCCGUAGCAGGUCUGAGAGGAUGAUCUGCCACACUGGAACUGAGACACGGUCCAGACUCCUACGGGAGGCAGCAGUGGGGAAUUUUGGACAAUGGGGGCAACCCUGAUCCAGCCAUGCCGCG
rnacentral:rRNA from 1 species